GAAGGAAAGAGACCUGGCCCACGAGCACACGCAACUAGGUCCAAGUGUCCUGCAAAGGAAGAAAGCAGACACACAGGCACGCGCGGCCAGAGACCAGAUGUCUUGAAAAGGGAGCGACUAAGCUAGCUUUGGGUACACUGGGCCAGCUCAAAACCGGCUGGCCGGUACGACCCAGGCACGCGUGAUAAAGGAUUUAGAGGCCAGGCCGGCGCAACCUUCCCCACAAACUCGGUCUCCCGCCCACCACCGCUGCCUGCCACCAGGGGGCACUCCCCGACCCAAGCAACGGAGAGUCACAGCUCAGAUCAGACAGGCCUGCACCUGGGCUCUUGCACCAGAGUUCGGAAACUGCCAAGUGACUCUGCUGGAGUUGGACAUGAAUAUAAUCCAGUACGUGGAGGCAGAAAGAGGAAGGAAGAUCAAGAGUUCAAGGAGGCUUGAGAGUGGGGGCAGAAGAAGAGAGAA
rnacentral:lncRNA from 1 species